UUUCAUUGUCUGCCAUCCAAUUUCCUUUGCUUUUCAGUGAUUAGCACAUGAGUGACUAUCUGUUGAUAGACACAAUACAGGCUAUGCUUUCAGGUCUUUUGGAUAAAGUUUUCAGAACUAACCCAAUAAAUUUACCAUUAAUUCCAUGAAAUAUUGACGAGUU